rnacentral:rRNA from 1 species
AGUGAACGCUGGCGGUAGGCCUAACACAUGCAAGUCGAACGGCAGCACAGUAAGAGCUUGCUCUUACGGGUGGCGAGUGGCGGACGGGUGAGGAAUACAUCGGAAUCUACUUUUUCGUGGGGGAUAACGUAGGGAAACUUACGCUAAUACCGCAUACGACCUACGGGUGAAAGCAGGGGAUCUUCGGACCUUGCGCGAUUGAAUGAGCCGAUGUCGGAUUAGCUAGUUGGCGGGGUAAAGGCCCACCAAGGCGACGAUCCGUAGCUGGUCUGGGAGGAUGAUCAGCCACACUGGAACUGAGACACGGUCCAGACUCCUACGGGAGGCAGCAGUGGGGAAUAUUGGACAAUGGGCGCAAGCCUGAUCCAGCCAUACCGCGUGGGUGAAGAAGGCCUUCGGGUUGUAAAGCCCUUUUGUUGGGAAAGAAAAGCAGCAGGUUAAUACCCCGCUGUUCUGACGGUACCCAAAGAAUAAGCACCGGCUAACUUCG